rnacentral:rRNA from 1 species
GACGAACGCUGGCGGCGUGCUUAACACAUGCAAGUCGAACGGUGAAGCGCCUUCCUUUUUGGUGGGUGUGGAUGAGUGGCGAACGGGUGAGUAACACGUGAGUAACCUGCCCCCUUCUUCUGGAUAACCGCAUGAAAGUGUGGCUAAUACGGGAUAUUCUGGGUCUGUCGCAUGAUGGGUCUGGGAAAGAUAUUGUUUCGGUGGGGGAUGGGCUCGCGGCCUAUCAGCUUGUUGGUGGGGUGAUGGCCUACCAAGGCGGUGACGGGUAGCCGGCCUGAGAGGGUGGACGGUCACACUGGGACUGAGACACGGCCCAGACUCCUACGGGAGGCAGCAGUGGGGAAUAUUGCACAAUGGGCGCAAGCCUGAUGCAGCGACGCCGCGUGAGGGAUGGAGGCCUUCGGGUUGUGAACCUCUUUCGCCAGUGAAGCAGGCCUGCCUCGUUUGUGGGUGGGUUGACGGUAGCUGGAGAGGAAGCGCCGGCUAACUACGUG